GGCCAGCACAUGCGAUGCACAUAAUUCCAUGGAAAGGGGAAUCGCAUGGAAGAACUCCCGAAUAAGUCCUUUUCUGAUUUAAAAUUCUAAAAAUAUUAGGAUCAAAAAAAGAAUCAAUCAAACUCUACAUUAUUGCCAUUAAAGGUCUAUUUAAAGGCCUCAAUUCUUUCAAUUUUUCCUUACCAAAAUUUCACGUCACUGGCUGCCCCUUUUCCCUAAUUUCUUUUCAAAAUAC
rnacentral:lncRNA from 1 species